UGGAAGAAAGAAUACGUGUGUAAGUUAUUUAAAAUUUGCACAUCACAACCCUUCCUAAAAUAUUAUCGCUUUCUGAUGACUCCACCCGUUUGAGUAUUUGGUUGGGGACAGAUACGAAGCGUACACAA